CACCCCAGCAUCGCCUCACCGGUCAGCCGCCGCAAUUUUCGCGACCACCCUCUGGCCCACCCGCCACUCCGCGCCGCCCACCCAUCUGCACGCAUCCACCACCACCCCCUCGUCGUCGAGGAGCUCCACCCGCUGCCCUCGCCGGCGAACGUGGCCGUAGCGGGGCUCCGACACCGCCGUGCAGAAGUCCGGCACGAACACGCACGGGAAACGUGCACCGCUGGGAGACGUGUUCAUUCUCCUACUUAAAGUGAUGGAAAACGUUUCUUUUUUGCAAAAAAAACCCUGCCACCACCGGCCAGCUCCACCACUUAUCCAUUCCCGGAACGGGUCGAGGCGUCGCAGCUGGCGUGUUGGCGAAUCCAUUCCCGGCGGCGGCGGCUUCCGGCGAGGAGGCGAGCGAGCUCGGGAAGCUCCGGAGGGGGCUUGUCGCCGAAGAGGCGAGGCCGAGGCGGCGGCGCGCGGGCGCGAGGAGGCGGGGUCGAGGAGGCGCAGGAGGACGCAGGCCGGUGGCGCUCCGGCGGGGGCUUCGCGAGGGCUACAGCGGUCGCGAGGGAUUGGCGGCGGCCGGCGUGCUCGCUUGGGAGGAUGGAGGCCGCCUCGCCGGGGCUCGGGCGCGGCAGCACGACGUUGGGCCGUUGCCGAUGGCGCCGGGGCCGGGCCGGUGGUUUGACGGGCGAUGAGGAGGAGGUGUUGUCCUGGAGCCAGCAACGGCGGCUGCAGCUUGACGAUGCAAGCGUCAACAGCUUGCUUCAGGGGCUGCGGGACGUGAGCGGCACCGUGCUCGUGCACGAGACCCGUGCCUGAUUUGGAUCGGAUUGCAGGCCGUGUCCUUGUCGAACACAGUUCAAUGGAGUGCCCAACCCGGAUUGUUGUUUUCUGCUAUAAGAAGGAAGGGUAGUCGGCCAGAAUCUCCAUGAGAUCAAUUUUUGAUUUGGACGAAACAUUCAAUGUAUUCGCCGAGUUCGCCGGAGGAAGAAACGUCGAGUUCGCCGGAGCUACAAGAAUAGACGUCGAGCACUCCAAUGUCGCCAGCAGCGGCUACACCAGAGGUAUGUUUGACCCCUGUUUGAUUUAUUUUCCUGUCCCCUGUCGCGCUGGCGAGCCCGUGCGCGUCCCUGCUGCUGCCGCUGCUCGCUGGCGAGCCCGUACGCGGCGACUGCUGCUGCUCUCGCGCUCGUGCGUGUCCCUGCUGCUGCCGCUGCUCGCUCGUGCCUUUUCCUUCCGUUAGUUUCCUGUCUAGCUAGCUGAAAUCACUCUGAAGCUGUGAACCAAACGCGUGUGUUCUAAAUCUUCUGAACUGAAUGCUUGAAAGAUCGGUUUGUCCUUCUGAAAAGAUUUGCUUGCUUGUCACUGUUUGAAUUGGUUAUUCCUCAGUUAUAGUUCUUGAUGGAUUUGAUAAUCUGUGAUAGCCUUACUCAUAUAGUACUAAUGAAAUCCAAUUGCAUACUGAAAUCUGCUUGGUUAUUCUUCUGUUAUAGUGGUACUAAUAAAAUCCAAUUGCUUACUCAUCUAUUAGCUUUGCAGUGGCAUACACAUGAAUAGAUAUCUCAACAUAUAUUUGAAGUGUAACCAGCCUUUCGCAGUUGGAUGUAUUCUGAACAUAUGAGUUUAUCUCCUGAACCCAUGGUUACUUACUGAACAUAAAGUAGCAAAACUGAAAGUAUAUAUACUGUACUGUACUUUCAGUAAUAUAGAUGCCAAUAUCAUUACCUUUUUCAGUUAGGGGGUAGUAGGGAUUCACUUUGGUAUAAAUCUGAUUGAUAGUUACUGCUCUGGUCUGUAAUUUAGCCAGAGUCAGGUUCAGAGUUGUUGACUGGAUUUUUUGGGCACAACCAUCAAGCAACCUGAGUAAAGCUUACCUAAGCCAAUGAUUUUGUUCUUUUAGCUAGAGCCAGGUUCAGAGUUGUUCACUCUGGAUUUUUUGGGCACAACCAUCAAGCAAGCUAGCAUGUAUUGUUUAACUGAAGCAAAGGGCAGCUAAGCUAUGAAUGCUUCAAUUCUUUGUUCUGAACAAAUGCAGCUACUAUUUGUAUUUGAUCUGAGCAAAGGUGCAACCAAUUGAAGUUAUUUUGAAGAACCUACACCUGAGUAUAUAUGUUCUGAUUUUAUAGCCUGCAGAGUCUGUAGAGUAAAGUUUGUACAUUUUGUGAAUCGCUUUGUUCCGGUUUCCCUUGGUGUAUAGUCUAUACUGUAUCAGGUUAUUUACUAUGUGCAGAUUUGUUUGUGCCAUUGCUAAUCAUGUACUUCUUUCUGUGCUUGGAAGCAUAGUCUCAUCGUAUCCCCUAGAUCUGUAUAAGUAUAUUUAGCUCACAUACACUUGGCAUUUGUUCUUCAAAAGGCGAUGUCCUCGAUGCUGGACUCCUGGUAACAGUUUAUUACAUGUUAUUUCUUUUUUUUUGGUGAGUCUUUUCUUGAGAUUUAGGAUUAUGGAGUUAACGGGUGUUACUUUUGACCUGCUAAUACAACUGCGUUAAACUUUUUGCUCUUCCAAAGCAACUAUGUAAGUCUGACGCUAACAUAAUGUUUACUGCUAAAAUACUUCAGUAUAACUUAGAGUCAGGAACAUAAGUAGAAUUUCAUAGAAAUCUGUCUAGCUCCUGUAGAUGAAAGACUUCCUGCAAGUGAGCUCUUGAAUAACUCUUACUUCCAGGAAGAUGAGGUCUAUUCCAGCGCCUCCAAUUUCAGUCUCUCUGGUCUCAAGUGUGACUGAAGAUGGGUGGCAAUCUGCAAGUUUCGUGCUUUGGAAGGGUGAAUUCUUACUGAAAAACCAUAUGCAUCUUACCGACCAUAUUAAUUUAUUGCUAAGGCUGUUUAAAGAAUGCUGAGUUGUCAAGAGAGGUGCUGCAGUGGCUGGCGUUGCCGGGCAUGGGACGACGUCUCUAGGCUCCUGCCUGAGGCAAGCCUCUCCGGUCUCCUCGGAUGCCCUCUAGGAGCUGGCACUGCGUAUGAUGGCCUCCUCACCUAGCACCUAGGUUGACCUAGCCACCGCCAUCGAAGCAGAGAGUUGACAACAUAUGUAUGAUUGUUGGACAUGUCAGUCCUGCCAUUGGCAUGUUCAAAACUAUGAAUUGAGUGACUACAAAUAUGCUUUGAUCAAUGAAAUGAAAGGAUGUUCUGUUA